AUAACUAGCUCAAAACACACGGCGCAAAUGUCAAACAAACGCUGGUGGUCUCAUGGUCCUGUCUAUUGUAAACGUUCUAGACCAUAUCACUGAAAUGUUUUGGUGUAGUUCACUGUAUUAUGGACGCUCAUCUCUGGCUUCUUCCGUCUCUCCAGCCUGGUUUCCGUGAUCUGCUGCGCUACGCUUCGACACUAGACCAUGGAACCAGGCUGCCACCUGGGACGAAAGGACUCGCUGGCUAACGCAACUGCGCAUGGCAAGAGACUGGGCUACCGUCUGUAAGGACAGCCGCCAUAAACUUGGAAACAGUGUCUCAAUAUUCCAGCAAUAUCACGGCGGGGGACACCAGAAAUGGGC